rnacentral:tRNA from 1 species
CCCAGGCAGUGCUAGGGGUAAAGAACCUGCCUGCAAUGUAGGAGACCCAGGUUCAAUCCCUGGGUCUGGAA